rnacentral:rRNA from 1 species
AAAUGCGGAAGAGAUAAGUGCUGAAAGCAUCUAAGCACGAAACUUGCCCCGAGAUGAGUUCUCCCUGACUCCUUGAGAGUCCUGAAGGAACGUUGAAGACGACGACGUUGAUAGGCCGGGUGUGUAAGCGCAGCGAUGCGUUGAGCUAACCGGUACUAAUGAACCGUGAGGCUUAACCUUACAACGCCGAAGGUGUUU